UACGGAGGGGGCUAGCGUUGUUCGGAAUUACUGGGCGUAAAGCGCACGUAGGCGGCUUUGCAAGUUAGAGGUGAAAGCCCGGGGCUCAACUCCGGAAUUGCCUUUAAAACUGCAUCGCUAGAAUCGUGGAGAGGUGAGUGGAAUUCCGAGUGUAGAGGUGAAAUUCGUAGAUAUUCGGAAGAACACCAGUGGCGAAGGCGACUCACUGGACACGUAUUGACGCUGAGGUGCGAAAGCGUGGGGAGCAAACAGG
rnacentral:rRNA from 1 species